UACGGAGGGAGCUAGCGUUGUUCGGAAUUACUGGGCGUAAAGCGCACGUAGGCGGCUUUGUAAGUUAGAGGUGAAAGCCCGGGGCUCAACCCCGGAAUUGCCUUUAAGACUGCAUCGCUUGAAUCCAGGAGAGGUGAGUGGAAUUCCGAGUGUAGAGGUGAAAAUUCGUAGAUAUUCGGAAGAACACCAGUGGCGAAGGACGGCUCACUGGCCCGGAUACUGACGCUGAGGCACGAA
rnacentral:rRNA from 1 species